CUACGGGCCGCAGCAGUUAAGAAUCUUCCGCAAUGGACGAAAGUCUGACGGAGCGACGCCGCGUGGGUGAAGAAGGCCGAGAGGUUGUAAAGCCCUUUUCUGCUUGAGGAAUAAGCCUGGUAGGGAAUGACCGGGUGAUGACGGUAGGGCAGGAAUAAGCCCCGGCUAAUUACGUGCCAGCAGCCGCGGUAACACGUAUGGGGCGAGCGUUGUUCGGAAUCAUUGGGCGUAAAGGGCGUGUAGGCGGAAAUGCAAGUCUGGUGUGAAAGACCGCAGCUCAACUGCGGGGACGCGCUGGAAACUGCAGAUCUUGAGUUCCGGAGGGGGAGUUGGAAUUCCUGGUGUAGGGGUGAAAUCUGUUGAUAUCAGGAAGAACAUCGGUGGCGAAGGCGAACUCCUGGACGAGAACUGACGCUGAGGCGCGAAAGCGUGGGGAGCGAACAGGAUUAGAUACCCCCGUAGUC
rnacentral:rRNA from 1 species